GACGAACGCUGGCGGCGUGCUUAACACAUGCAAGUCGAACGGUGAAGCGCCUUCCUUUUUGGUGUGUGUGUAUGAGUGGCGAACUGGUUAGUAACACGUUAGUAACCUUCUCCCUUCUUCUUAAUAACCGCAUGAAAGUGUUGCUAAUACAUGAUAUUCUGGGUCUGUCGCAUGAUUGGUCUGGGACAGAUUUUGUUUCGGUGGUGGAUGGGCUCGCGCCUUAUCAGCUUGUUGGUGGGGUGAUGGCCUACCAAGGCGGUGACGAGUAGCCGGCCUGAGAGGGUCGACGGUCACAGUGGGAAGGAGACACGGCGAAGACUCCUACGGGCGGCAGCAGGGGGGAAUAGGGCACAAUGGGAGGAAGGCUGAUGCAGCGCCGCGGCGGGAGGGAUGGAGGCCUUCGGGUUGUGAACCUCUUUCGGCAGUGAAGAAGGGCUGAAUCGUUUGUGGGUGGGUUGACGGUAGCUGGACAAGAAGCGCCGGCUAACUACGUG
rnacentral:rRNA from 1 species